GUUCUAAAGGGUUUUGCAGUUCUUGUAUGAAGUUUUUCAUUUACCAAUGGUUCGAAAAUGGACACCCAAAGGCUCACACACUUUCCUCGGCCUUUAGCCGGCCUUCAGCAGGCCUUUAGCUUUGGUUCAAACCUCAAGAUUGUGCUCUGUGAAAUAUUCGAACAUUGCUUUUGGUGCCCUACGAUGGGAGGGAUGCCAAAUGCCUUUAGGCUCAAAUUGGAUCAUUUGUGAUAUGGCAUUAUGCUUUCAACAGUUCCUCAUAAUGAAAGCCUGGGGUUCAAUGUCAAACAAUCUUUGAGCGGGAAGAAACCUUGUCAGAAUAAUCUUAGGAGGCCCUUAAUUUCUUUGCACCCCUUACAUUGAAAUAAUGAGUCAACAUCUUUGUGAAUGAAUCACGAUCCAAAUCGUAAGAGUUCGAUUUUCAGAGCUUAGUGCCCCACGGUUAAAGUUUGCUCAUAAUAAACUAGAUAAGUAUUGGUGUCGCCAUGAUCCAGCUUCCUCUUUUCCCUUCAACCAAAUUAAGCUAAUUUUGAUCCACGGACUUUGCAGCCAAUCUAUUUCCCAACACUGCAAAACCAUUAUCUUCGAAAUCCCAACAAAAUGUCCGUGACCAGUCCACAAAUAGUAAACUUGCUCGAGUGCAGGUUUUGGGCAAAUUUGUUCUUGUGAUAUGAAAAUUCUAUCCAUUAUAUGUCCUUAAUCGAUUUCUCCGUUUUCGAUUUACAGGUUGUCAUGAAAGUGGACAUUGAAGGAAGUGAAGUCGAGGUGAUCACGGAUUUAGUCUUAACAGGAGCCCUAAAUUUCGUCGAUUACAUUACCGUCGAAUGGCACGAAUGGUCCUCUGCCAAGCGGAAAGAACUGAUGGGUUUGGGCUGAUCGAUUGUCACGAAUUUGGACCCUCUGACGGAGAAACUCAAAAUGAAACACAAACUUCGGGUUGUGGAUCAAGAUGACGAAACUUACUUUUUGUCAGAUGAGCCGUUCUCGAAUUGUCCAAGUCAUGAUUAGCCCAUCAAAUGCCUGCCAUGGAGAGCCCAAAAUUGGGAAAACGACUUCCAUAUGCUCGAAGUCUGAACUUGUGUGAUAAAUUAUAGGAAAUACAAAACUAGAUUGUACGUUCCAAGGCGCUUUAA